rnacentral:tRNA from 2 species
GGAGAGGUCGCCUAGUCCGGCCGAUGGCACCGCGUUGCUAACGCGGAGCGGGGUAACACCGCCGAGGGUUCGAAUCCCUCCCUCUCCGCCA